rnacentral:rRNA from 1 species
CCUACGGGUCGCACCAGUGGGGAAUAUUGGACAAUGGGCGAAAGCCUGAUCCAGCAAUGCCGCGUGUGUGAAGAAGGUCUUCGGAUUGUAAAGCACUUUCGACGGGGACGAUGAUGACGGUACCCGUGGAAGAAGCCCCGGCUAACUUCGUGCCAGCAGCCGCGGUAAUACGAAGGCGGCUAGCGUUGCUCGGAAUGACUGGGCGUAAAGGGUGCGUAGGCGGUUUAUGCAGUAAGAUGUGAAAUCCCCGGGCUUAACCUGGGAACUGCAUUUGAGACGCAUAGACUAGAGGUCGAGAGAGGAGUGUGGAAUUCCCAGUGUAGAGGUGAAAUUCGUAGAUAUUGGGAAGAACACCGGUGGCGAAGGCGGCAACCUGGCUCGAUACUGACGCUGAGGCGCGAAAGCGUGGUGAGCAAACAGGAUUAGAUACCCCAGUAGUC